GCGACGAUAGAGUAGUGGUGAACUCACCUCCCUCCCAAGGAGGAGACUCGGGUUCGAACCCCGAUCGUCGCA
rnacentral:tRNA from 2 species